rnacentral:rRNA from 1 species
UACGUAGGGGGCAAGCGUUGUCCGGAAUCAUUGGGCGUAAAGAGCGUGUAGGCGGUCCUGUAAGUCCGCUGUGAAAGUCAAGGGCUCAACCCUUGAAUGCCGGUGGAUACUGCAGGACUAGAGUCCGGAAGAGGCGAGUGGAAUUCCUGGUGUAGCGGUGAAAUGCGCAGAUAUCAGGAGGAACACCGAUGGCGAAGGCAGCUCGCUGGGACGGUACUGACGCUGAGACGCGAAAGCGUGGGGGAGCAAACGGG